UACAGAGGUCUCAAGCGUUUGUUCGGAAUCACUGGGCGUAAAGCGCACGUAGGCGGAUUGUUAAGUCAGGGGUGAAAUCCUGGAGCUCAACUCCAGAACUGCCUUUGAUACUGGCGAUCUCGAGUCCGGGAGAGGUGAGUGGAACUGCGAGUGUAGAGGUGAAAUUCGUAGAUAUUCGCAAGAACACCAGUGGCGAAGGCGGCUCACUGGCCCGGAACUGACGCUGAGGUGCGGAAAGCGUGGGGGAGCAAACAGGG
rnacentral:rRNA from 1 species